GACGUAGGGCGCGAGCGUUGUCCGGAUUUAUUGGGCGUAAAGAGCUCGUAGGCGGCUUGUCGCGUCGUCCGUGAAAACCUGGGGCUCAACCCCAGGCUUGCGGUCGAUACGGGCAGGCUCGAGCUCGGUAGGGGAGACUGGAAUUCCUGGUGUAGCGGUGAAAUGCGCAGAUAUCAGGAGGAACACCGGUGGCGAAGGCGGGUCUCUGGGCCGAUACUGACGCUGAGGAGCGAAAGCGUGGGGAGCGAACAGG
rnacentral:rRNA from 1 species